rnacentral:rRNA from 1 species
UACGGAGGGAGCUAGCGUUGUUCGGAAUUACUGGGCGUAAAGCGCGCGUAGGCGGCUUUGUAAGUUAGAGGUGAAAGCCCGGGGCUCAACCCCGGAACUGCCUUUAAGACUGCAUCGCUUGAAUCCAGGAGAGGUGAGUGGAAUUCGGAGUGUAGAGGUGAAAUUCGUAGAUAUUCGGAAGAACACCAGUGGCGAAGGCGGCUACCUGGACCAGCACUGACACUGAGGCACGAAAGCGUGGGGAGCAAACAGG